rnacentral:rRNA from 1 species
UACGAAGGGGGCUAGCGUUGCUCGGAAUCACUGGGCGUAAAGGGCGCGUAGGCGGCCGAUCAAGUCAGAGGUGAAAGCCCAAGGCUCAACCUUGGAAUUGCCUUUGAUACUGUUCGGCUCGAGACCGGAAGAGGUAAGUGGAACUGCGAGUGUAGAGGUGAAAUUCGUAGAUAUUCGCAAGAACACCAGUGGCGAAGGCGGACUACUGGUCCGGUUCUGGACGCUGAGGCGCGAAAGCGUGGGGAGCAAACAGG